rnacentral:rRNA from 1 species
AGUGAACGCUGGCGGUAGGCCUAACACAUGCAAGUCGAACGGCAGCACAGUAAGAGCUUGCUCUUACGGGUGGCGAGUGGCGGACGGGUGAGGAAUACAUCGGAAUCUACUUUUUCGUGGGGGAUAACGUAGGGAAACUUACGCUAAUACCGCAUACGACCUACGGGUGAAAGCAGGGGAUCUUCGGACCUUGCGCGAUUGAAUGAGCCGAUGUCGGAUUAGCUAGUUGGCGGGGUAAAGGCCCACCAAGGCGACGAUCCGUAGCUGGUCUGAGAGGAUGAUCAGUCACACUGGAACUGAGACACGGUCCAGACUCCUACGGGAGGCAGCAGUGGGGAAUAUUGGACAAUGGGCGCAAGCCUGAUCCAGCCAUGCCGCGUGGGUGAAGAAGGCCUUCGGGUUGUAAAGCCCUUUUGUUUGGAAAGAAAAGCAGCAGGUUAAUACCCCGCUGUUCUGACGUUACCCAAAGAAUAAGCACCGGCUAACUUCGUG